rnacentral:rRNA from 1 species
CCUACGGGAGGCAGCAGUGAGGAAUAUUGGUCAAUGGGCGCGAGCCUGAACCAGCCAAGUAGCGUGAAGGAUGACUGCCCUACGGGUUGUAAACUUCUUUUAUAAAGGAAUAAAGUGAGGCACGUGUGCCUUUUUGUAUGUACUUUAUGAAUAAGGAUCGGCUAACUCCGUGCCAGCAGCCGCGGUAAUACGGAGGAUCCGAGCGUUAUCCGGAGUUAUUGGGUUUAAAGGGAGCGUAGAUGGGGUGUUAAGUCAGUGGGGAAAGUUUGCGGCUCAACCGGAAAAUUGCAAUUGAUACUGGCAGCCUUGAGUACAGUUGAGGGAGGCGGAAUUCGUGGUGUAGCGGUGAAAUGCUGAGAUAUCACGAAGAACUCCGAGUGCGAAGGCAGCUUACUAAGCUGCCACUGACAUUGAUGCUCGAAAGUGUGGGUAUCAAACAGGAUUAGAUACCCGGGUAGUG